CAGAGUCUCCCUUUGUCACCCAGGCUGGAGUGCCGUGGCAUGAUCUCUGUUCACUGCUACCUCUGCCUUCCAGGUUCAAGCAAUUCUCGUGCCUCAGCUUCAGCUGGGAUUACAGGUGUUGAAAAUGAUGGCUUUAUAUACCUGAUUGCCUUGUUGAUCUUGCAUCACAGUUUGCCAUUCCCAGUGCUCUUUCUGAAGUGUGCCCUUUGGAGAAAACAGAAAGAAGCUCUUGUUUCAGCAUGUGUUUUCUCACUUGCCUUCCUACAAGUUGAAAGAUGUUUCCUCAUCCUGCCUGGACCAUGCUCUGCCCCACACAGCUGGGAUGGGGCGUGGGCCCACCUGGGGAUAUAGCCGUCACUUCACUUGAUCGUGAACUGUGCUUCUCCAGCAAGGAAUUGUUUCUUGAAUUGGCUGCUAGAAGAUUCAAAGGUAAACCUGUGGUCCAAGUGCAGCAAGUGGGGAAGGCCUCAGCAUGCAUUUUGUGUGCUAACCUCAUCCCUGGUUUCAUUUUAUUUCUCUAAUUCUAUUCCUCUCUUUUCUGAUUAACUCAUUUUUUUCUUCGUUUCAUUGUUUUAUUUUGCAUAUUUGUAAGUUGUCACAUAACCUUUUGAAGUAAAAGGCAGUGCAAAAUUGCUAAC
rnacentral:lncRNA from 1 species